rnacentral:rRNA from 1 species
UAAGCAUAUAAUUAAGCGGAGGAA